rnacentral:rRNA from 1 species
UGGGGAAUAUUGCACAAUGGGCGAAAGCCUGAUGCAGCAACGCCGCGUGAGUGAUGAAGGCCUUCGGGUUGUAAAGCUCUGUCUUUUGGGACGAUAAUGACGGUACCAAAGGAGGAAGCCACGGCUAACUACGUGCCAGCAGCCGCGGUAAUACGUAGGUGGCAAGCGUUGUCCGGAUUUACUGGGCGUAAAGGAUGCGUAGGCGGAUUUUUAAGUGAGAUGUGAAAUACCCGGGCUUAACUUGGGUGCUGCAUUUCAAACUGGGAAUCUAGAGUGCGGGAGAGGAGAAUGGAAUUCCUAGUGUAGCGGUGAAAUGCGUAGAGAUUAGGAAGAACACCAGUGGCGAAGGCGAUUCUCUGGACCAUAACUGACGCUGAGGCAUGAAAGCGUGGGUAGCAAACAGGAUUAGAUACCCUGGUAGUCCACGCCGUAAACGAUGAGUACUAGGUGUAGGAGGUAUCGACCCCUUCUGUGCCGCAGUUAACACAAUAAGUACUCCGCCUGGGAAGUACGAUCGCAAGAUU